rnacentral:rRNA from 1 species
UAAGGAAUAUUGGACAAUGGAGGCAACUCUGAUCCAGCCAUGCCGCGUGAAGGAAUAAGGCCCUAUGGGUUGUAAACUUCUUUUAGACGGGACAAAACCCCUUUACGUGUAAAGGGUUGAUGGUACUGUCAGAAUAAGCAUCGGCUAACUUCGUGCCAGCAGCCGCGGUAAUACGAAGGAUGCAAGCGUUAUCCGGAAUUAUUGGGUUUAAAGGGUGCGUAGGCGGACUAAUAAGUCAGUGGUGAAAGCCUGCAGCUUAACUGCAGAAUUGCCAUUGAUACUGUUAGUCUUGAGUACAGUUGAGGUAGGCGGAAUGUGUCAUGUAGCGGUGAAAUGCUUAGAUAUGACACAGAACACCAAUUGCGAAGGCAGCUUGCUAAGCUGUAACUGACGCUGAGGCACGAAAGCGUGGGGA